GCAUCCUGGGAUGUGGAGUUCAUUGGAGUUAGAUCUGAAUACAGUAUCAGGCAAGAUUCGACCCUUGGUCCUCUGCAUGGGUACCAAGCCCCAGUACAUGUGCCACCAGCUCUACCAACUGAUCUACACAGUUUCAUCAUUCCAUUUUUGAACUGUGUGUAUUCACAGUCUGGAUACAAACCUGCUCUCCUGGUUGUGACAGCGCUGUGGCCGCUCGUACCAUUACUGUAACAGUUACCUUCUGGGAGCUGAUGUGCAGUUAUCUGGCUCCCUACAGAUCUGACCUGCCAGCUUGAUGUUUAG